rnacentral:rRNA from 1 species
GACGGAGGGUGCAAGCGUUGCUCGGAAUCAUUGGGCGUAAAGGGUGCGUAGGCGGCUUCUUAAGUCUGACGUGAAAGCCCAGGGCUCAGCCUUGGAAGUGCGUCAGAAACUGAGGAGCUUGAGUGCCGGAGGGGAGAGUGGAAUUCCUGGUGCAGCGGUGAAAUGCGUAGAUAUCAGGAGGAAUACCGGUGGCGAAAGCGACUCUCUGGACGGCAACUGACGCUGAGGCACGAAAGCGUGGGUAGCAAACAGG